GAUGAACGCUGGCGGCGUGCUUAACACAUGCAAGUCGAACGGACAGGCGCGGCUCUUGCUGGUCGCUCGUGUGGCGCGGGCGUGUGAGUCACAUGAGUAUACCCUCCCUAUAUGACUGGUAUCUCCACGGGAAACCGGAUCUAACACCGGAUAAGAUAUUGAACCGCGUGGUUCAAUAGUGAAAGACGGUUUUGCUGUCACGACUAGAGGGUUCCGCGCCGCAUGAGCUAGUUGUUACGGUAACGGCUUACCAAGGCUAGGAUGCGUAGCCGACCUGAGAGGGUGAUCGGCCACACUGGAACUGAGACACGGUCCAGACUCCUACGGGAGGCAGCAGUAGGGAAUGUUCGGCAAUGGGCGGAAGCCUGACGCAGCAACGCCGCGUGAGAGAUGAAGGCCUUCGGAUCGUAAAACUCUGUUGUUAGGGAAGAACACAUGUGGACGUAGACGUGGAGGGCUUGACGGUACCGGAUCAAAAAGCACCGGCUAACUACGUG
rnacentral:rRNA from 1 species